rnacentral:rRNA from 1 species
GGGUUGUGAGGUUAAGCGACUAAGCGUACACGGUGGAUGCCCUGGCAGUCAGAGGCGAUGAAGGACGUGCUAAUCUGCGAAAAGCGUCGGUAAGGUGAUAUGAACCGUUAUAACCGGCGAUGUCCGAAUGGGGAAACCCAGUGCAAUUCGUUGCACUAUCGUUAACUGAAUACAUAGGUUAACGAGGCGAACCGGGGGAACUGAAACAUCUAAGUACCCCGAGGAAAAGAAAUCAACCGAGAUUCCCCCAGUAGCGGCGAGCGAACGGGGAGCAGCCCAGAGUCUGAAUCAGCUUGUGUGUUAGUGGAACGGUCUGGAAAGUCCGACGGUACAGGGUGAUAGUCCCGUACACCAAAAUGCACAGGCUGUGAACUCGAAGAGUAGGGCGGGACACGUGGUAUCCUGUCUGAAUAUGGGGGGACCAUCCUCCAAGGCUAAAUACUCCUGACUGACCGAUAGUGAACCAGUACCGUGAGGGAAAGGCGAAAAGAACCCCGGCGAGGGGAGUGAAAAAGAACCUGAAACCGUGUACGUACAAGCAGUGGGAGCACCUUCGGGUGUGACUGCGUACCUUUUGUAUAAUGGGUCAGCGACUUAUAUUCUGUAGCAAGGUUAACCGUAUAGGGGAGCCGCAGGGAAACCGAGUCUUAACUGGGCGUUAAGUUGCAGGGUAUAGACCCGAAACCCGGUGAUCUAGCCAUGGGCAGGUUGAAGGUUGGGUAACACUAACUGGAGGACCGAACCGACUAAUGUUGAAAAAUUAGCGGAUGACUUGUGGCUGGGGGUGAAAGGCCAAUCAAACCGGGAGAUAGCUGGUUCUCCCCGAAAGCUAUUUAGGUAGCGCCUCGUGAAUUCAUCUUCGGGGGUAGAGCACUGUUUCGGCUAGGGGGUCAUCCCGACUUACCAACCCGAUGCAAACUACGAAUACCGAAGAAUGUUAUCACGGGAGACACACGGCGGGUGCUAACGUCCGUCGUGAAGAGGGAAACAACCCAGACCGCCAGCUAAGGUCCCAAAGUCAUGGUUAAGUGGGAAACGAUGUGGGAAGGCACAGACAGCCAGGAUGUUGGCUUAGAAGCAGCCAUCAUUUAAAGAAAGCGUAAUAGCUCACUGGUCGAGUCGGCCUGCGCGGAAGAUGUAACGGGGCUAAACCAUGCACCGAAGCUGCGGCAGCGACACUAUGUGUUGUUGGGUAGGGGAGCGUUCUGUAAGCCUGCGAAGGUGGCCUGUGAGGGUUGCUGGAGGUAUCAGAAGUGCGAAUGCUGACAUAAGUAACGAUAAAGCGGGUGAAAAGCCCGCUCGCCGGAAGACCAAGGGUUCCUGUCCAACGUUAAUCGGGGCAGGGUGAGUCGACCCCUAAGGCGAGGCCGAAAGGCGUAGUCGAUGGGAAACAGGUUAAUAUUCCUGUACUUGGUGUUACUGCGAAGGGGGGACGGAGAAGGCUAUGUUAGCCGGGCGACGGUUGUCCCGGUUUAAGCAUGUAGGCUGAUUAUCCAGGCAAAUCCGGAUAAUCAAGGCUGAGGUGUGAUGACGAGGCACUACGGUGCUGAAGUAACAAAUGCCCUGCUUCCAGGAAAAGCCUCUAAGCAUCAGGUAACAUUAAAUCGUACCCCAAACCGACACAGGUGGUCAGGUAGAGAAUACCAAGGCGCUUGAGAGAACUCGGGUGAAGGAACUAGGCAAAAUGGUGCCGUAACUUCGGGAGAAGGCACGCUGGUGUGUAGGUGAAGUCCCUGCGGAUGGAGCUGAGACCAGUCGAAGAUACCAGCUGGCUGCAACUGUUUAUUAAAAACACAGCACUGUGCAAACACGAAAGUGGACGUAUACGGUGUGACGCCUGCCCGGUGCCGGAAGGUUAAUUGAUGGGGUUAUCCGUAAGGAGAAGCUCUUGAUCGAAGCCCCGGUAAACGGCGGCCGUAACUAUAACGGUCCUAAGGUAGCGAAAUUCCUUGUCGGGUAAGUUCCGACCUGCACGAAUGGCGUAAUGAUGGCCAGGCUGUCUCCACCCGAGACUCAGUGAAAUUGAACUCGCUGUGAAGAUGCAGUGUACCCGCGGCAAGACGGAAAGACCCCGUGAACCUUUACUAUAGCUUGACACUGAACAUUGAGCCUUGAUGUGUAGGAUAGGUGGGAGGCUUUGAAGCGUGGACGCCAGUCUGCGUGGAGCCAACCUUGAAAUACCACCCUUUAAUGUUUGAUGUUCUAACGUUGGCCCCUUACCGGGGUUGCGGACAGUGUCUGGUGGGUAGUUUGACUGGGGCGGUCUCCUCCCAAAGCGUAACGGAGGAGCACGAAGGUUAGCUAAUCCUGGUCGGACAUCAGGAGGUUAGUGCAAUGGCAUAAGCUAGCUUGACUGCGAGCGUGACGGCGCGAGCAGGUGCGAAAGCAGGUCAUAGUGAUCCGGUGGUUCUGAAUGGAAGGGCCAUCGCUCAACGGAUAAAAGGUACUCCGGGGAUAACAGGCUGAUACCGCCCAAGAGUUCAUAUCGACGGCGGUGUUUGGCACCUCGAUGUCGGCUCAUCACAUCCUGGGGCUGAAGUAGGUCCCAAGGGUAUGGCUGUUCGCCAUUUAAAGUGGUACGCGAGCUGGGUUUAGAACGUCGUGAGACAGUUCGGUCCCUAUCUGCCGUGGGCGCUGGAGAAUUGAGGGGGGCUGCUCCUAGUACGAGAGGACCGGAGUGGACGCAUCACUGGUGUUCGGGUUGUCAUGCCAAUGGCACUGCCCGGUAGCUAAAUGCGGAAGAGAUAAGUGCUGAAAGCAUCUAAGCACGAAACUUGCCCCGAGAUGAGUUCUCCCUGAGACUUUAAGUCUCCUGAAGGAACGUUGAAGACGACGACGUUGAUAGGCCGGGUGUGUAAGCGCAGCGAUGCGUUGAGCUAACCGGUACUAAUGAACCGUGAGGCUUAACCUUACAACGCCGAAG